rnacentral:rRNA from 1 species
CGCGGCCUAUCAGCUUGUUGGUGAGGUAACGGCCCACCAAGGCGACGACGGGUAGCCGGCCUGAGAGGGCGACCGGCCACACUGGGACUGAGACACGGCCCAGACUCCUACGGGAGGCAGCAGUGGGGAAUAUUGCGCAAUGGGCGAAAGCCUGACGCAGCGACGCAGCGUGAGGGACGAAGGCCUUCGGGUUGUAAACCUCUUUCAGCGGGGACGAAGCGAAAGUGACGGUACCCGCAAAAGAAGCACCGGCUAACUACGUGCCAGCAGCCGCGGUAAUACGUAGGGUGCAAGCAUUGUCCGGAUUUAUUGGGCGUAAAGAGCUCGUAGGCGGCUUGUCACGUCGGAUGUGAAAACUCGGGGCUCAACCCCGAGCCUGCAUUCGAUACGGGCUAGCUAGAGUGUUGCAGGGGAGACUGGAAUUCCUGGUGUAGCGGUGAAAUGCGCAGAUAUCAGGAGGAACACCGGUGGCGAAGGCGGGUCUCUGGGCAACUACUGACGCUGAGGAGCGAAAGCGUGGGGAGCGAACAGGAUUAGAUACCCUGGUAGUCCACGCCGUAAACGGUGGGCGCUAGGUGUGGGGAACCUUCCACGUUCUCUGUGCCGUAGCUAACGCAUUAAGCGCCCCGCCUGGGGAGUACGG